UGGAGACAGUGGAAAGGAAGAGGACAUAGGAGAUGAUGUUCUGAUUCAUAGGGAUUACAUCAUAAAAAAAACUAACAGCAAAAACAUUUUCCUACCCACAGUAGUAUCGACUCAGGAGAGUUUAAUGACAGGGAAGAUGUCACAGAAGAAAUUAUCAAGCACCUUAUGAUGAAAUUUGAGAACUACAUACAAAGAAGUUAAAACAAGGGACUCUAUGUUCCGGGGAGAUAUUCUUCUCCUCAUCAUCACAGAAACACUGGGCACACAUGCCGUGCCACAGGAUGUACCCAGGAAGUCCUUCAUGCAUCUUCACACCUAGUCCCUGCAAGACUUCUAUGAGGACUUUUCAUGACAAUGAGACACAUCUGCUCCUGUCAGCACCAAUCUACUUCAAAAGGAAGAUAAGUAUCAAAGAGGCUCCUUAAGGAGUUGGUUAGCCAUUUGGACUAGAAACUUCUCUUGUUAUGGACUGCUUGAUGUUAUGAUGUAUGAACUGGACAUGCAGGACCCACAGAAAAAUGACUGCUGAACUUGCCUAAAGGUGAGACAUCCUUUGGGGUUUCUGCUUCAUGAAAGAGUCUGUCAGAAAUUCUGCAAGACACUGAAGAAAGCAACUGAUGAACUUUGCCAUCAUAAGGCAGAGUAGAUCUUCAAAUUUUUUGCCUCUGAAAAUGGUCUGUCAGUUACUCUAGGCCUUAGCCAAAGUUGGUUGCUUCAUCAUUGCAAAUGAGAUUUUGGGUGAUUACCUAGAUAGCCAGUUGUUUCUGUCAUCUAUUGCACAUUUUGGAAGCUGCUUGAUUGCACUUCCUGCCUACUCAAGUAAUAUUAUCUUGCUUCUCAGGCCUUUGAUGGGUUUGAAGAUUAGAUAGUCAUAGUUACUUUCCUCUUAUGAUUUAGCCAAGAUAUUUCUAAUACAAGACUUAGAUUCCUUAGGAUAGAAUGAUUAUUGAAGCAUUUAACAUGUGUUUCUUCCUUGAUAUUUUUUAUGCUGGUUGUUAUUCUAAUUUUUAUACUUGAUAUUUCUUCUUAUUGUAUAUAGUGUUGUAUUAGGCUUAGAACUCUUUUAUUUAAACAAAAUGGGGAGGCUGCUGUGGGAACUCCUUCAGCCAGUAGCCUUUAAGAUAUCAGCUCACUUGUACCUGGCCUCUUAUAUUAUAAAUGGCGAUGUAAGGCAUGUGCUUGCUCUCUCUCCAGGCUUCUGGAUUCUGUUCCUGUUCCACAUUCGUGCAGAGGACUGUGAUUUGUGAC